AGCGGCAGACGGGAGAGUAACACGUGGGAACGUACCCUUCAGUUCGGAACAACCCAGGGAAACUUGGAUUAAUACCGGAUACGUCCGUAAGGAGAAAGAUUUAUCGCUGAAGGAUCGGCCCGCGUCUGAUUAGCUAGUUGGUGAGGUAACGGCUCACCAAGGCGACGAUCAGUAGCUGGUCUGAGAGGAUGAUCAGCCUCACUGGGACUGAGACACGGCCCAG
rnacentral:rRNA from 1 species